GUGGGGAAUAUUGGACAAUGGGGGGAACCCUGAUCCAGCCAUGCCGCGUGUGUGAAGAAGGCCUUUUGGUUGUAAAGCACUUUAAGCGAGGAGGAGGCUACCGAGAUUAAUACUCUUGGAUAGUGGACGUUACUCGCAGAAUAAGCACCGGCUAACUCUGUGCCAGCAGCCGCGGUAAUACAGAGGGUGCAAGCGUUAAUCGGAUUUACUGGGCGUAAAGCGCGCGUAGGUGGCCAAUUAAGUCAAAUGUGAAAUCCCCGAGCUUAACUUGGGAAUUGCAAUCGAUACUGGUUGGCUAGAGUAUGGGAGAGGAUGGUAGAAUUCCAGGUGUAGCGGUGAAAUGCGUAGAGAUCUGGAGGAAUACCGAUGGCGAAGGCAGCCAUCUGGCCUAAUACUGACACUGAGGUGCGAAAGCAUGGGGAGCAAACAGGAUUAGAUACCCUGGUAGUCC
rnacentral:rRNA from 1 species